UACGAAGGGGGGCUAGCGUUUGUUCGGAAUUACUGGGCGUAAAGCGCACGUAGGCGGAUUGUUAAGUUAGGGGUGAAAUCCCAGGGCUCAACCCUGGAACUGCCUUUAAUACUGGCAAUCUCGAGUCCGAGAGAGGUGAGUGGAAUUCCGAGUGUAGAGGUGAAAUUCGUAGAUAUUCGGAGGAACACCAGUGGCGAAGGCGGCUCACUGGCUCGGUACUGACGCUGAGGUGCGAAAGCGUGGGGAGCAAACAGG
rnacentral:rRNA from 1 species